rnacentral:rRNA from 1 species
UUUCGAAGCCGGAAGGUCGAUGAGAUCGCUUGCACUUCAAAUGCUUAGCGGCGGACGGGUGAACACACGUAUGCAACCUGCCCUGACAGGGGGAUAACCACCGGAAACGGGCUCUAAUACCGGAUAAUUUUUUUCCCCCCGUGGCGGAAUUGAGAAGGACCGACCAAUGUCUCUCUUGGAGAUGGGCCCGCCGCGCAUUAUCUUUUUGGAGGGGUAACCUCCCCCCAGGGCCACUAUGCGUACCCCAUCUGAGAGGGUGAACGGCCACUCUGGGACUGACACACGGCCCACACUCCUACGAGGGGCAACAAUGGGGAAUCCUCCACAGUGGAAAAAUGUCAGACAGAACCACCCCGCGUGUGUGAAAAGCGUUUUCGGAACAUAAAUCUCUGGUGACGGGGAAAAACGUGUUAGAUAAAAACUGUUGUGACAGUGACGGUACCUUAGAAAAAAGCCCCGGCUAAUUACUUGCCACAAGCCCCGGUAAUACUUAGGGGCAAAGCUUUUUCCGGAAUUUUUGGGCGAAAACCGCGCGAGGGGGGUUCUUUAAUUCUGGUUUUUAAACCAAGGGGCUCACCUUGGGGGCGGCAUGGAAACUGGGGAACUUGAGUGCAAAAAAGAAAAUGGGAAUUCCCGUGUAGCCGUGAAAUGCGUAAAUAUAUGGAGGACCCCCAUGGCGAAAGCCAAUUUCUGGGUUUUUCCUGACACUGAGCCCAAACCUGGGAACAAACAAGAUUAAUUCCUUGUUUCCCACCCCCAAACAAUAAUGCCAAGGUUAAGGGUUCCACCCCUUGGUGCGAUUUAACAUUACAUCCCCCUGGGAAAAACGGCC